rnacentral:misc_RNA from 1 species
UAAUAAGUGUUUUAUGGCACUUUUUAAUCCAUAUCCACCUUGUGUGCAAUGUCAGUCGAUCUUCUUCAUGGAGACGACCAAACAUCAACCUUAUUUUUAACUCUUUGUCUGAAAAAUAUUAUGAAUAAACAGUUCAAAUA